rnacentral:rRNA from 1 species
UGAUGCAGCCAUGCCGCGUGUGUGAUGAAGGCCUUCGGGUUGUAAAGCACUUUCAAUUGGGAGGAAAGGUUCACGGCUAAUACCCGUGAGCUGUGACGUUACCUUUACAAGAAGCACCGGCUAACUCCGUGCCAGCAGCCGCGGUAAUACGGAGGGUGCGAGCGUUAAUCGGAAUUACUGGGCGUAAAGCGCGCGUAGGCGGUCUGUUAAGUCGGAUGUGAAAGCCCCGGGCUCAACCUGGGAACUGCAUCCGAUACUGGCAGACUACAGUGCGGGAGAGGGAGGUAGAAUUCCAUGUGUAGCGGUGAAAUGCGUAAAUAUGUGGAGGAAUACCAAUGGCGAAGGCGGCCUCCUGGCUCGACACUGACACUGAGGUGCGAAAGCGUGGGGAGCAAACAGGAUUAAAUACCCUGGUAGUCCACGCCGUAAACGAUGUCUACUAGCUGUAGGGGUACUUGAGACCUUUGUAGCGCAGCUAACGCACUAAGUAGACCGCCUGGGGGUA